rnacentral:rRNA from 1 species
GUUGCCAGCACUUCGGGUGGGCACUCUAAUGAGACUGCCGGUGAUAACCGGAGGAAGGUGGGAUGACGUCAAAUCAUCAUGCCCUUAUGUCUUGGGCUACACACGUGCUACAAUGGUCGGUACAACGGGGGGCGAAGGAGCGAUCCGGAGCGAAUCCCAAGAAGCCGAUCUCAGUUCGGAUUGCAGGCUGCAACUCGCCUGCAUGAAGCCGGAAUCGCUAGUAAUCGCGGAUCAGCAUGCCGCGGUGAAUACGUUCCCGGGCCUU